GACAGGUAAAUGGGAAACAGUCUAUGCUGGAAUCACAAAAGCAAGAGAAACACACAUGUAUCCAUGGAUAUAGUUACCUCAAGGUCAGAGAUGGGAAAGUGGGGUUUGAGAAUCAGGUCUCGACAAGGGGCCUUCUGGCUGGUGUCCUUUGAGCCAAUAGAACAAGACCAAGUUUGGUUCAGAAGUAGUUUUAUUUUUCAUCAUAGAAUGGAAAAGUGCACAUUGGCACUCAAGAGUACAAGCUCUCCUGGAAAGGCGAUGGGCAGGGUCUUGUCAGCAGGGAAGGCGUGGAGUCCUUGCAUCUUAACUACAGCUGUGAUACAACAGCUUCAUAAGGAUCUAGUCAGUGGGGAAGGAGUGGAGUUCUUGCAAGUCUGGUACAGCCUCAUUGCUCACAGCUCUUAUUCCAGAUCGCAAUGUGAGAGGUGCAGCAUUUCUACAGACAGCUCACCACCACAUUUUUGUAUUGAAGAGUCAGUUGGGUGUAUCCACUUUGCACUAAGAGCCCUGGUCUGAAGUACCAGGGGGCAAGGUCUCUGCACCCUACAAGCAAGUGAAACUAGAUGAAACACAGAGGAAAAGAAAAGAAGUUACCAUGACCGCAAGUAACCAAUUAUAUAGGGAUUCCCACCUGGACUGAGUUCCUUGAUGAGCCUCCCAGAUGGCUUGACAAACUGCAGUUGGGGAAGCCUCAGCCCACCAUGAAAAUUGGAGAAGAAAAUGGCAACCCACUCCAGUGUUCUUGCCCGGAGAAUCCCAGGGACAGGGGAGCCUGGUGGGCUGCCGUCUAUGGGGUCGCACAGAGUCAGACACAUCUGAAGUGACUUAGGAGCAGCAGCAGCCACCAUGAAAACAAUGAAAAUAUUCGUAGUUGUUCUUUGUUGGUGAGAUUCACUGAGGGUCGAGUGCUUUAUAUAUUUUCAAUGAAAAAUUAUUCUGAAACUAUUCUAAAUUAAUAAGAUCAAUGAGUAAUUCAAAAUAUAUAUCAGUGAAAUCAAUGGUAUAUGUAUUUUAUUGGAUAACUCUGGAGUUUUUCUUUCUAGCUAUUUUCGCAUAAUUAUAAAUCACAGAGCCACACAAUUUGAUGUACUUCUUAAUUAAAACUGCAAUGACUCACCAAACAAAAAAUUGUAACAAUAGAUUUUAGAAGCACAAUAAAUAUCACUACAUA